rnacentral:rRNA from 1 species
CAAUAGCGUAUAUUUAAGUUGUUGCAGUUAAAAAGCUCGUAGUUGGAUUUCGGAUGGGACUUGCCGGUCCGUCGUUUCGAUGUGCACUGGCCAGUCCUAUCUUGUUGUCGGGGACUAGCUCCUGGGCUUCACUGUCCGGGACUAGGAGCUGACGAGGUUACUUUGAGUAAAUUAGAGUGUUCAAAGCAAGCCUACGCUCUGAAUACAAUAGCAUGGGAUAACACGACAGGACUCUGGCCUAUCGUGUUGGUCUAUAGGACCAGAGUAAUGAUUAAGAGGGACAGUCGGGGGCAUUCGUAUUCCGUUGUCAGAGGUGAAAUUCUUGGAUUUACGGAAGACGAACAUCUGCGAAAGCAUUUGCCAAGGAUGUUUUCAUUGA